CUGACUGUGUAGCCAGCCCACUUUGUUUCAGUUUCUAUAUCCCUGACUUUUCCUGAGGUGGAUGUCAGACGUUGGUACACUUCACUCACCCAACUCCCGCAUAAGAACAGCAAGGCCCCAAGUUUCCUUGAAACCUUUCACACUGAUGUAAGGUGAGCAGCAGCUCCUCCUCCCUUUGUGAAAGACAGUGAGGUGGUGAGAGCCACGAGCUGUCCACUCCAACCAGCCCUCGGAAGAUCUCCACCUGCCGUUCUUUGUGGAGCUCUGCUUCCUGCAGUUCCUGGCUACCUUGUGAAGGGCCCCCACCAGUAAGAUGGCGAACUUCCGGCUUCUCUUCCGGGUCCUCAGUUCCUGACGGCACCACCUAAAGACCUAUCACCUCUCUCCCCACUCCCACUCCCAGCACCUAGCCAAUAGCCACCAGCCCCGUAGAAGUGACACCACAGUCACCUCAUGCCCCUUCCUAUAUAACCCAGCACCUUUCCCCAAUAAAGCGGAAUUCUCUGGUGAAUUGCUGUGUGUCGCUCCUUUCCUUUCAUUGGUGCCAAAACCCGGGAGACGGGACACCCCAACUGGGCCCCGUCUUCCCCCG